GGAGUUUGGGCCGUGUCUCAGUCCCAAUGUGGCCGGUCAACCUCUCAGUUCGGCUACUGAUCGUCGCCUUGGUGGGCCGUUACCUCACCAACUAGCUAAUCAGACGCGGGUCCAUCUGCUAUCGGAUUGCUCCUUUCACAUCAGAGAGAUGCCUCUCCGAUGUCGUAUGCGGUAUUAGCAGUCAUUUCUAACUGUUGUCCCCCCAAUACCAGGUAGGUUACCCACGCGUUACUCACCCGUCCGCCACUCGAUUGGAUGGUGCAAGCACCUUCCUCUCUCGUUCGACUUGCAUGUGUUAGGCACGCCGCCAGCGUUCAUCCUGAGCCAGGAUCAAUCUCU
rnacentral:rRNA from 1 species